rnacentral:rRNA from 1 species
AUUGAACGCUGGCGGCAGGCCUAACACAUGCAAGUCGAACGAGUGGCGGACGGGUGAGUAAUGUCUGGGAAACUGCCUGAUGGAGGGGGAUAACUACUGGAAACGGUAGCUAAUACCGCAUACCAUCGGAUGUGCCCAGGUGGGAUUAGCUAGUAGGUGGGGUAACGGCUCACCUAGGCGACGAUCCCUAGCUGGUCUGAGAGGAUGACCAGCCACACUGGAACUGAGACACGGUCCAGACUCCUACGGGAGGCAGCAGUGGGGAAUAUUGCACAAUGGACGAAAGCCUGAUGCAGCCAGGCCGCUUGUAUGAAGAAGGCCUUCGGGUUGUAAAGUACUUUCGGCGGGGAGGCGUUACCCACAGAGGAAGCACCGGCUAACUCCGUGCCAGCAGCCGCGGUAAUAC